rnacentral:rRNA from 1 species
GAUUAACGCUGGCGGCGUGCCUAACACAUGCAAGUCGAGCGGCAGCGAGUUUUACACUGACUUCUGGAAGCUUCUAGUUGCAAGAGAAGAUUUAUUCAAGAAUUUUGUGUAAAAUGUCGGCGAGCGGCGGACGGCUGAGUAACGCGUGGGAACGUACCCCAAAGUGAGGGAUAACGCAUCGAAAGGUGUGCUAAUACCGCAUAUGGUCUUCGGAUUAAAGCCUUCGGGCGCUUUGGGAACGGCCUGCGUAAGAUUAGAUAGUUGGUGGGGUAAUGGCCUACCAAGUCGACGAUCUUUAACUGGUUUGAGAGGAUGAUCAGUCAGACUGGAACUGAGACACGGUCCAGACUCCUACGGGAGGCAGCAGUGAGGAAUCUUCCACAAUGGGCGAAAGCCUGAUGGAGCAACGCCGCGUGCAGGAUGAAGGCCUUCGGGUUGUAAACUGCUUUUAUAAGUGAGGAUUAUGACAGUAACCUAUGAAUAAGGAUCGGCUAACUACGUG